UCAGGUAUUUGAGUGCGCUGUCAAGAAAUAUGAGAGAAAUGGAUGUCUUGCUAAAGAGACGUAGUACAAACUGCAUUCUAGUACGAAGUACAAACUGCAUGAGACAUGUGUAGUACCAAUUGUCUAUUUUCUUAUAAGUUUUCCGUCUGUGUACGUAGUAGCGUAGUACAACCAAGUAGUACAAACAAUUGAAAGAUAAAAGGCCCCAAGGAUCAACAAGCCUACUUAAUUAUACGGACAUGCCAAGUUUGUACCGAUUAGUGCUAAUUCGAAUGCGGGCUCUUAGGGAAGAACAAGUAUCUUUUCGAAAGGAGAAAGGAUGAGAAUGAUUCAUUUGAAGAUUAUCAAAGUGUGUUGGUGUCUUUGGUGCAGAAACUAGAGAGUGGUGCUGUAACCGUUGGUGCUAUUGAAACUCACCUUGCUCUUAAAUUCGGAUUUUUGGUUCUUUCUUUUCUUUCGAAUUUUCUGUCGAGGUUCAAAAUUUCUUGCAACUUUCUUUCCAUUUCCAAUAUGCUGUAAAAUGUAACAGCAGAUGGUUUUCUAUUUUAGUAUGAGACUCUGUAUUAUGGUCACAGCACCUCUCUUUGGACCAAAGUCACCAACACAUUUUCGUGAUCGUCUGUCCUCCUCAAAUUCUCUCAAUUCCUCAUCCAUUCUAAAGUUGGAGGAUGUUUUCUCUGUGUCCAGAACAAGCAGAAAACAGGGAAUGGACGAAAGAAUUCAGGGGCGCAACGGAUCUUCUGUCUCACACCCUGUACCACUCUUUAUCUCAUUUUUUAUUAUAUUGCUAUUUCUCCUACAUAAACAUCAUAUUUUAGUUCUUUUUUAUUUCUUAAAGAUCCAAUAACUAUUAAUUGAGUAAUACACAAAAUUUAACAAACUUAAAAUAUUAAAAAAUAAAUACAGCAACUUCAAUAACCAUUAAUUGACUAAAAAAUAAAUACAACUGCUUCAAAAAAGCAAUAUAUAUAAUAGAAAAUUAAAAAAUACAGCAAAAAAUUCAUAAAAAAUCUCAUUUAAUAGUUAUUGAAAAAUCAUGAUAACAUUGAAUUGUGGUCCUAAAUAUCAAUUAGUAAAAGUCACGGGGCUGUGUGUGUUGUCCAGAGGUAAGACUGUGACAUUGCCUACAUUCACAAUAAAGAAAAAUAUUUAAGAACAAUAAAUUGUGACAUUAAAUGUGAAACCGAGAUAGGUAGCUGGAUUAGUUAAUGUUUGGAGGAAAACAUCGCAUGUGAAAGCUUAAAUGUGAAUCUAACCACUCCAACAACGAACUACUGGUUGGUCGGUCAUUGCCCGGUUACACCACAGAAGAUCCAUCUCUAGUCUAAUUCUUGGAGCACAGCAUAUUUAUUGUACUCAAGAUUAAUUUGUGAGACUGGAAUGUUGCCCCAUUUCAUAUGCAAUAAGGCCAUUCUGGACGAGGAAUUGGUAUUUGAUCAUUGGAUACGAUCAUGUCAUUAUUGUAUUUUUCAAUUCUCAAUAUUCCUUGUAUCAAUGAUCAGAAACCACAAAUGAUAGGGUUUACGGACAUUUCCAACCAUUAGAGUGAAGCGUUGGUGCGUGCCAACCUAAAAGUAUGUUAACAAUAUACACACGACAACGGGCUAGAAAAUAUUUUUGUUUUUUGAAAAACCCGCUUUAGGUAGAUGCUUACCAACGUAGUAUAAGAUACCAGCUAGUUAUUAAAACUCUCAUAUUUGCAAUUAAAUCAAGAAGAUGUCUAGUAGUACAGCAUUUGUAGUCUAGAUAUGGAUUUCUCUUUCUCAAAUUUUCUUGACCCAGUUGAGCUCUCCUUUAAAAUAUAAGUGGACGUGUGGGUAGUCAAUGCGAAUUGGGAAACAACUUCAUGGUCACAACAAUACUGCAUAAAGAAUGAAAAAACCUCUUUUUCACGUCCUUGAAUAUUGGUGCUAUUACCUAACUUAGCUGGGCUGAGUUGGCCAUCACGAUGGGACUUAAGUCCCUCCAUAGAUAUAAGUUGAAGGAUCAAAUUUUUUUGUUCAUAUUCUCAUUUGAAAAUUUCCUCGGCGGAUGAACGGGCAUUUGUUUGAUCAGAUAGUGAUUUAGUCUUUUUGAAUUCCUCAUCAACUCAAAAAAAAAAAAAUUGAUGGCGAUUCAAUCCCACCAAAUAUCUUGUUCAGUAUUACGCAAUGCUCAUCUCAAAUUUGGUGUUGGCCCGGUGAACCAACAGGCCCAGAGUGUAACUUAGAACAAAAAUGUUUGGGCCGAUCUCAGAGAAAGCCUACAUGAGAAAAGGGCUGAAAUGCAGGAAGAAAAUGCCCAACCUAUUUUAAAAUUAUCUAAAUUGUUUCGCCGGCCUUCUAUGGCCCGUACCCAAUCUUCAUGGAUUUGCAAAUGUUUCAUGGAUAAUUUCAUAUUUCUCUAUUAAAUAAAUAAAUAUAUAAAUAAAUGUCAUAUUUCUUGUAUCACUACUGGCAAAUGAUUUUUUUGUUUGAUUUUCCUUAGAUGUCAAGAGUUGAGCAAAUUUUAUUUAUCUCCAAUUAAACAAAUUUUUGGUUGGGGCGGCAAUGUUCCUUCAAAAUUUCACCUCAAAAAAACAUAUUUAAAUACUGAUUUUUUAUUUGAAUUUUUCCUUCAUGAAGCUAGACAAUAAUUGUACAAAAAAACUGCGUUCUGUAUUUUUCCUCCCCACCUCCAAAAACAUGAAGGACCCAAUGAGAUGGGACUGGGCUACCGAUAAAAUGUAGAGUAUGUCUUCCAUUGCACGUAAUCGGCCCGUGAUACAGAUGGUCUCAAAAAAGUUUUUAUAUUUUUCUUGAAUACAUUUCUGGAUUGCUUUUUUAUCUCUUAUAUAUCAUAUCGUUACAAUACAUUUUUUUAAAAAAAAAUUCUAAAAAUAGCAAUCCAAAUGUGCUAAUAAAAUCUGUUAGAGCUUGGUUAAAACUUAAAACGGUUUCACUUAACGUGACUGAAAUUUUUUUUUAAAAAAAAUUUAAAAUUAGGCUUUUUUUUUUGGGUGGGGGAAUGAAAGUGGUGUACUACUACCUAAUAAAAUUUAUGUAGUACAGAUUUGAAAGUACAAACAUAUUUUGCUUUGCGCCUCAUGCUGAUUGUGUAGUACAUAUCCAAAUGGCAUAUAAAUGGCUGUGACAGAUCAAUCUCAAUUCUGAGGGAGUAGGGCAAUGUUUGAAGAACAUAAUUGGAACGAUUAAUGGGCUCGUCCAUUAGAGACUGCAAAGAAGGUAACUUCUCUACUGGUUUCUUUCUUUUCUUUAGAAAAUUUCCAGAGGUACAUCAUCCAUGCAUGGAACGAGUCAAAUAUUAAGUGGAAAAAGAUCUAUACUCCAUAGCCUUCAGCCCUGAGGGGCUUCUUAUUCUUUAUUUAUCAUCCCAAAACAUUUGUCGAAAUUUUCACCUUCUUUUUCUCUUCUUAAAUGCAAAUUGGAAUAGCUUUACUAGUCCUUUUUCAGCCGUUGGCAUCUGGUGAAAUCCAUCUGGAAAUGCAGGUGUUGUACGUGUUUUUUGUCUUUGUAUUUGCAUCGCCAGGGCUGAUCAGUAAUGGCCUUAUCCUUUACUAGUUGGAUGGAUUUUAUCCGUAAGAGCUCGUGGGUGGCCAGAAUGGCUGCGGGACCAGAGUAUCGUUGUCUGUACACGUGAUAAAUGAGAUUAUAAGGAUGUAGCCAUUCAAGUUUCAGAGUCAAGAACAUGAUACAAUGAAUUACUUUGGUUCUACGAAUGCAAAAGGCAAAAGAAGAAGGAAAAAAUAGUGAAAGGAAAGAGGGAAAAGGACAAGAAUUGUAGAAAUUGUUAAGGAUAUGUAUAUAUUUUCUGGUUUGGCAUAAAGAUUUUAGUGUUACAAAUAGAUAAUUAGAAGUAAUAUAAGGUUGAGAUGAUAUGGCUACCUGAUAUUUGGGACUGGGAGGAGUAGUUAGCGAUUGGAUUGUUCUUUAGAAAUCAAAGGGCCCGUAAUGGAAUCCUGGCCAUUUGGUCCAGUGGUCAUCACCAUUAAAGGCGAUGCUGGGGAUCAGGGGUUCAAUUUGUGGCGGUCUUAAUUGACUUUCAUCGAUGGAGUCUGUACUCACAUCGAACCCCCUCCCCUUCCCUUUAGAUUAGGCUAGAUUAGAUUAUAGGACAUCUAUGAUUGCGACAAAAAAAAAAAAAAAA